GAUGAAGAACGUAGCGAAAUGCGAUACUUGGUGUGAAUUGCAGAAUCCCGUGAACCAUCGAGUCUUUGAACGCAAGUUGCGCCCGAAGCCAUUAGGCCGAGGGCACGCCUGCCUGGGCGUCACACGUCGUUGCCCCCCCAUCUACUCCUUCGGGAUUGCGGGGGGCGGGUGAUGGCCUCCCGUGCGCCUCGCCGCGCGGUUGGCAUAAAUGCCAAGUCCUCGGCGACGCACGCCACGACAAUCGGUGGUUGCGAAACCUCGGUUGCCCGUCGUGUGCGGUCGUCGCGCAUCGAGGGCUCGAAAAAAUUGCCGGGUUCCGGCUCGGCUUUCAACGCGACCCCAGGUCAGGCGGGGUUACCCGCUGAAUUUAAGCAUAUCAAUAAGCGGAGGA
rnacentral:misc_RNA from 1 species